rnacentral:rRNA from 1 species
CACGUAGGGCGCAAGCGUUGUCCGGAAUUAUUGGGCGUAAGAGCUCGUAGGCGGUCUGUUGCGUCCGCUGUGAAAACUCGGGGCUUAACCCCGAGCCUGCAGUGGAUACGGGCAGACUAGAGGUAGGUAGGGGAGAAUGGAAUUCCCGGUGUAGCGGUGAAAUGCGCAGAUAUCGGGAGGAACACCGGUGGCGAAGGCGGUUCUCUGGGCCUUACCUGACGCUGAGGAGCCGAA